CACGUAGGGGGAAAGCGGUGUCCGGAAUGAUUGGGCGUAAAGAGCUCGUAGGCGGUCUGUCGCGUCGAUCGUGAAAACUUGGGGCUUAACCCUGAGCUUGCGGUCGAUACGGGCAUGACUGGAGUUCGGCAGGGGAGACUGGAAUUCCUGGUGUAGCGGUGAAAUGCGCAGAUAUCAGGAGGAACACCGGUGGCGAAGGCGGGUCUCUGGGCCGAUACUGACGCUGAGGAGCGAAAGCGUGGGGAGCGAACAGG
rnacentral:rRNA from 1 species